GUGGGCGACACGAAACACCGAAACCGAACGCACGCCGUCAAGCAAGAAAUCCACAAAACUUUCAACAACGGAUCUCUUGGUUCUCGCAUCGAUGAAGAGCGCAGCGAAAUGCGAUACCUAGUGUGAAUUGCAGCCAUCGUGAAUCAUCGAGUUCUUGAACGCACAUUGCGCCCGCUGGUAUUCCGGCGGGCAUGCCUGUCUGAGCGUCGUUUCCUUCUUGGAGCGGAGCUUCAGACCUGGCGGGCUGUCUUUCGGGACGGCGCGCCCAAAGCGAGGGGCCUUCUGCGCGAACUAGACUGUGCGCGCGGGGCGGCCGGCGAACUUAUACCAAGCUCGACCUCAGAUCAGGCAGGAGUACCCGCUGAACUUAAGCAUAUCAAUAAGCGGAGGAAAAGAAACCAACAGGGAUUGCCCCAGUAGCGGCGAGUGAAGCGGCAAAAGCUCAGAUUUGGAAUCGCUUCGGCGAGUUGUGAAUUGCAGGUUGGCGCCUCUGCGGCGGCGGCGGUCCAAGUCCCUUGGAACAGGGCGCCAUUGAGGGUGAGAGCCCCGUGGGACCGUUUGCCUAUGCUCUGAGGCCCUUCUGACGAGUCGAGUUGUUUGGGAAUGCAGCUCUAAGCGGGUGGUAAAUUCCAUCUAAGGCUAAAUACUGGCGAGAGACCGAUAGCGAACAAGUACUGUGAAGGAAAGAUGAAAAGCACUUUGAAAAGAGAGUGAAACAGCACGUGAAAUUGUUGAAAGGGAAGGGUAUUGCGCCCGACAUGGAGCGUGCGCACCGCUGCCCCUCGUGGGCGGCGCUCUGGGCGUGCUCUGGGCCAGCAUCGGUUUUUGCCGCGGGAGAAGGGCGGCGGGCAUGUAGCUCUUCGGAGUGUUAUAGCCUGCCGCCGGCGCCGCGAGCGGGGACCGAGGACUGCGACUUUUGUCUCGGAUGCUGGCACAACGCGCAC
rnacentral:rRNA from 1 species